CCCUAGUAGCUUAGCCUGAAAGC
rnacentral:tRNA from 1 species